rnacentral:rRNA from 1 species
GAUGAACGCUGGCGGCGUGCCUAAUACAUGCAAGUCGAGCGAACAGAUGAGGAGCUUGCUUCUCUGACGUUAGCGGCGGACGGGUGAGUAACACGUGGAUAACCUACCUAUAAGACUGGGAUAACUACGGGAAACCGGAGCUAAUACCGGAUAAUAUAUUGAACCGCAUGGUUCAAUAGUGAAAGACGGUUUUGCUGUCACUUAUAGAUGGAUCCGCGCCGCAUUAGCUAGUUGGUAAGGUAACGGCUUACCAAGGCAACGAUGCGUAGCCGACCUGAGAGGGUGAUCGGCCACACUGGAACUGAGACACGGUCCAGACUCCUACGGGAGGCAGCAGUAGGGAAUCUUCCGCAAUGGGCGAAAGCCUGACGGAGCAACGCCGCGUGAGUGAUGAAGGUCUUCGGAUCGUAAAACUCUGUUAUUAGGGAAGAACAAAUGUGUAAGUAACUAUGCACGUCUUGACGGUACCUAAUCAGAAAGCCACGGCUAACUACGUG